rnacentral:rRNA from 1 species
GAUGAACGCUGGCGGCGUGCCUAACACAUGCAAGUCGAACGGUAGGACGCUUUCGUGGGUACACUAGUGUCGAACGGGUGCGUGAGACGUACAUAAGCAUCCCCCAACUUUGGGAUAACGCUACGAAACUGGUCCUAGUACUACCUCUGUGCAACUGCUGCAUGGUGGGGGUUGGAAAGCUCCGGCGGGUGUUGAUGUACCCUGGUGUUAUCUGCGCGUUGGUGGGGUAAUGGCUUACCAAGGCGGCGAUGGGUGGCAGACGUGAGAGGGGGACCGGCCACACUGGGAGUGAGACGCGGCCCUGAGUCCUAGGGGAGGCAGCGGUGGGGACUGGUGGGCAAUGGGCGAAAGACUGACCCAGCAACGCCGCGUGGGUGAAGAAGGGCUGCGGGUGGGAAAACGCUGUUGUGGGGGAAGAACGCUUUGGGCAGAAACGAGGCUGGUCGUGACGGUACCUGAAGAAGAAGCACCGGCUAACUACGUG